UGCAUUUCUAUAUAUUAAUUGUGCACCGCUCGGCCACCUCUCAGGCCAUCCACGAUAGCAAAAACAAUUUCGUCCGUUUGAUCUGCAUCCUUCGGUGGCUAUCUCCUCCGCUAGUUCACCGGCUGCCGUAAAAAAAAAAUCUCCUUUUGUGAAGCAUCCGGCAGGCCGAAGCUCCGCCCAACCUCUCCGAUGGCGCUCAACCUCUCGCAUCGCCGUGCUCCUCAGGGUCCGCUCGAGCGCGGGGGCCGCAGCUGCCUCCACUGCCGCUACCGCUGCUGGAGUUGCAAGCGGCGGCCGCAGGAUCCGCAGCCGCAACCGCGUCGGGCGCCCGCCGGCGACCGGCCGCUAGCCGUCGGCCCUUCCAUGUGCGGCCCGCCGCCCGCCGUCCACCUGCGUCCCGCUACUGCCUCCAAUGGUAGUGUCCCAAUGCGUUAGAGGGAGAGGGUAGCCGAGACGUCACCUGUGCGCUGCCGCUGCCGCUGCUGCUGCAUCCGCACCCGGCGCCCGCAGGCCCCCCUCUGCGUGCAAUCUGCUGCCCGCCGGCCAACACUCGCUGCCUACCUGCUUGCUUGUGCUACCAGUGCCACCAACGCUACCGUGCCACUGCGUGAGAGGGAGAGGGUUGCGCUGCAGCAGCGUAUCUCUUCAAGUCGAAGGCGCAGUGAUAGCAACAGAGGCCGGCUCCGCUUCCUAUCGCUCAUUCUGUGAUUUUUGUUGCUGCAGCCCUGUUCCUUUCAUUCUUCCACUUUUUCUGUCCUUUUCUCUUUGCAACAUUAUGUUACUGUUAUGUGUCUCCCCUUUUACCUAUAACAUUUCUAAAUUGUUUCAAAAAAAACUAUGAAGGAACGACAAAAAGCAAGGCAACAAAUCAGCUUUCCACAAGCAGGGAAGGUACUAGCCAGGUAUGUUUUCUCAAAUUCAAUCGUUAUAACAUGAAAUAUAUUUAGAAAAUAUAAUCUGUCUACUUCCUGUCAAUAGGAUGAAAUUUUAGAUCAUGAUUCUGAUUUAGAUGACACAAGGAAGAAAAAACAACUCAUUAGAAGGUGAUUCAUCACUUCACAUUGGAACCAAAAGAACAUUUACAAUGCCCUUUUGUACUAAUUCUAUAAGUACAAGGCAAAGGGGAAAUAAGAAGAUCAUCAUAUCUACAUUCUGUUAUAAAAAUGUGCACCAAAGCAUCAUUGGAGAAUCUGGAAUCCAAUCAUCACUACAUUUGCAUUGAAACCUACUUCUUGAAGUCAACCUGCAUUUCUAGAACCAAACCUGGUAAGCCUCAUCUUCUGAAAGUCAAUGCAUUAUUUGUCUAACCAUGGUAACAUUUGAAAUGAAAUUUAAACUCUGCUUCUGCAAGUCAAAGACUUCCUUUCCAAUGUUGACUAUUAUAAUAAUAAAGAAUGGCAACCAAGCUGACAAUUCCUUUCCGAUGUUCUUAUUCUCAUUUUGAUUUUCUUCUGUUUUGCUUCAUCUUUUAUUUGUUCUUUUAGUUACUCCUUGAUAAAAGACUUCCUUAAGUUCAAUUGUAGAACUCUGCUUCUGCAAGUCAUAUAGUUUUUGAGCAGGAAUGACACACACACUUCCAGAAGUAGGGAUGGCAGUACUCUUCUGCUUGAGUUCUUAACUGCUUUCUUGCUUAGUAUUUCCUUACAAAAUCUCAGCUAAUAAUGUAUAGAAAGGCUUUUUAUGUGAAAUGCAUAGGGAGGUAUGCCAUGAAUAUCUAUUGUCACUAGAACUUUCCUGCAUCCAGUAGUUUGAUCUGCCUAAAACUAUCUAUACGUAUGUAACUGAACUUCCAGUGCAAUGUAAAAAUGGUGAAUGUCGCUUACUUAUAACUACUCAUGUAAUAUAUGCGCACAUGUCCGUGCUAUGAAACCUCUCCAUAGCUUAA